GUUUAGAUACAAUCUAUUGAUAACUAUUAGAACUGACUUGCACUGGCUCCGUCAAAGUGGUCAGAGCAUUAUGGCUGUCAUCGAAGCUGCCAACAAACUUCCCAUGGGUUAAAAAUCAUAAAUGAUAGAGUAGCUACGAGGUCUGAUGGCACUGUUGGAGUAUUGAUGUUGUUAAUCACAUUAACUUGGCUG